rnacentral:rRNA from 1 species
UACGAAGGUGGCAAGCGUUGUUCGGAAUCAUUGGGCGUAAAGCGAACGUAGGCGGGUUUGUAAGUAGACUGUGAAAACCCUGGGCUCAACCCGGGACGUGCUGUCUAAACUGCAAGUCUUGAAUUCUCGAGAGGAUGGUGGAAUUCCUGGAGUAGUAGUGAAAUACGUAGAUAUCAGGAGGAACACCGGAGGCGAAGGCGGCCAUCUGGCGAGAUAUUGACGCUAAGGUUCGAAAGCGUGGGUAGCAAACAGG